rnacentral:lncRNA from 1 species
UGUUCCUUAAGGCAGGAAGCAUGACUCCUGAGCUUAAUGUAACUCAAGACUCAGAGACAUUCGGAGCUCCAAAUAUUGCUGUUUGGAGAAAUCUGCACCUUAAUAAGAGCAGUUAUUUGUGAGAAAAAAAAAAGACAAGAAUAUAUAUGAGAUGGGUAAGCAAUUCUAUUGGCCUGGGGUGAUGACGAUUUUUAUCUGCCAUCUAGCCCCAAGCUCUGGGCUCUGACUCCUUUGUGCAG